UUAGCGGCGGACGGGUGAGUAACACGUGGAUAACCUACCUAUAAGACUGGGAUAACUUCGGGAAACCGGAGCUAAUACCGGAUAAUAUUUUGAACCGCAUGGUUCAAAAGUGAAAGACGGUCUUGCUGUCACUUAUAGAUGGAUCCGCGCUGCAUUAGCUAGUUGGUAAGGUAACGGCUUACCAAGGCAACGAUGCAUAGCCGACCUGAGAGGGUGAUCGGCCACACUGGAACUGAGACACGGUCCAGACUCCUACGGGAGGCAGCAGUAGGGAAUCUUCCGCAAUGGGCGAAAGCCUGACGGAGCAACGCCGCGUGAGUGAUGAAGGUCUUCGGAUCGUAAAACUCUGUUAUUAGGGAAGAACAUAUGUGUAAGUAACUGUGCACAUCUUGACGGUACCUAAUCAGAAAGCCACGGCUAACUACGUGCCAGCAGCCGCGGUAAUACGUAGGUGGCAAGCGUUAUCCGGAAUUAUUGGGCGUAAAGCGCGCGUAGGCGGUUUUUUAAGUCUGAUGUGAAAGCCCACGGCUCAACCGUGGAGGGUCAUUGGAAACUGGAAAACUUGAGUGCAGAAGAGGAAAGUGGAAUUCCAUGUGUAGCGGUGAAAUGCGCAGAGAUAUGGAGGAACACCAGUGGCGAAGGCGACU
rnacentral:rRNA from 1 species